rnacentral:rRNA from 1 species
GGGUUGUGAGGUUAAGUGACUAAGCGUACACGGUGGAUGCCCUGGCAGUCAGAGGCGAUGAAGGACGUGCUAAUCUGCGAUAAGCGUCGGUAAGGUGAUAUGAACCGUUAUAACCGGCGAUUUCCGAAUGGGGAAACCCAGUGUGAUUCGUCACACUAUCAUUAACUGAAUCCAUAGGUUAAUGAGGCGAACCGGGGGAACUGAAACAUCUAAGUACCCCGAGGAAAAGAAAUCAACCGAGAUUCCCCCAGUAGCGGCGAGCGAACGGGGAGCAGCCC